GCCGGUAUAGCACAGUGGUCACCGCGCUCCCGUUUUACUUGCAGCAUCCUCUUGACUAAGGAGAAUCAUCUUUGACCAACGCGCUUGAGUAACGAAACGGGAGAGCUUCUGAGUUCAAUUCUCAGUGCUGGCA